CGACCCUCAAUCUAGAACAUCAGCUCCUCUCCAGGUCUGCAGCUGCAAGAACCUCAAACUAGAACAUCAGCUCCUCUCCAGGUCUCCAGCUGCACGACCCUCAAACUAGAACAUCAGCUCCUCUCCGCGUCUGCAGCUCCACGACCCUCAAUCUAGAACAUCAGCUCCUCCCCGGGUCUUCAGCUGCACGACCCUCAAACUAGAACAUCAGCUCCUCCCUGGGUCUGCAGCUGGAAGAUCCACUAACUAGAACAUCAACUCCUGUCUAGGUUUCCAGCUCCAUGACCCUCAAUCAAGAUUAUCAGCUCCUCUCUGAGUCCCCAGCUGAAAGACCCUCAACGUGAACAACAUCAGCUCCUCCCGAAGUCCUCAACUGCAUGACCCUCAAACUACAACAUCAGCUCCUCCCCGAGUAUUCAGCUGCAUGACCCUCAAUCUAGAACAUCAGCUCCUCUCUGACUCUGUAGCUGGAAGAUCCACUAACUAGAACAUCAGCUCCUGUCUGGGUCUCCAGCUCCAUGACCCUUAAUCAAGAUUAUCAGCUCCUCCCUGAGUCCCCAGCUGAAAGACCCUCAACACGAACAACAUCAGCUCCUCCCAAAGUCCUCAACUGCAUGACCCUCAAACUACAACAUCAGCUCCUCCCCGAGUCUUCAGCUGCAUGACCCUCUAUCUAGAACAUCAGCUCCUCCCCGGGUCUGCAGCUGCACGACCCUCAAUCUAGAACAUCAGCUCCUCCCCGGGUCUGCAGCUGCACGACCCUCAAUCUAGAACAUCAGCUCCUCCCCGGGUCUGCAGCUGCACGACCCUCAAUCUAGAACAUCAGCUCCUCCCCGGGUCUGCAGCUGCACGACCCUCAAUCUAGAACAUCAGCUCCUCCCCGGGUCUGCAGCUGCACGACCCUCAAUCUAGAACAUCAGCUCCUCCCCGGGUCUGCAGCUGCACGACCCUCAAUCUAGAACAUCAGCUCCUCCCCGGGUCUGCAGCUGCACGACCCUCAAUCUAGAACAUCAGCUCCUCCCCGGGUCUGCAGCUGCACGACCCUCAAUCUAGAACAUCAGCUCCUCCCCGGGUCUGCAGCUGCACGACCCUCAAUCUAGAACAUCAGCUCCUCCCCGGGUCUGCAGCUGCACGACCCUCAAGGUAGAACAUCAGCUCUUCCCCGAGCUAAAACACCUCUCCCACCUGGAUCUCCAGCUCCACGAGUCUCACAGAACAGCCACACUGGCUCCUUCAUUGUCUUCAGCUCCACAACCUAAGACAUCAGUGGGAGCACUGGCUCCUCCCUGGACCUCCAGCUCAACGACUCUCAUAGACUUAAAAGGCAGCACCUGCUCCUCCCCAAGGCUCCAUCUCCACCACCCUCAGAUUUGAACAGCGGUAGCACCACCUCCUCUCCAGGUCUUCAGCCCCAUGUCCCUCCCUGAACAAUCCCUUCUCAUGAAAUUCAGCAGUCAAGAAAUCUGCAGCGGAAGUAAAUGAAUAAACGUUUUGUUUUCAAAUUG
rnacentral:lncRNA from 1 species